rnacentral:rRNA from 1 species
AUUGAACGCUGGCGGCAGGCCUAACACAUGCAAGUCGAGCGGUAGAGAGGUGCUUGCAUCUCUUGAGAGCGGCGGACGGGUGAGUAAUGCCUAGGAAUCUGCCUAGUGGUGGGGGAUAACGUUCGGAAACGGACGCUAAUACCGCAUACGUCCUACGGGAGAAAGCGGGGGGAUCUUCGGACCUCGCGCCAUUAGAUGAGCCUAGGUCGGAUUAGCUAGUUGGUGAGGUAAUGGCUCACCAAGGCGACGAUCCGUAACUGGUCUGAGAGGAUGAUCAGUCACACUGGAACUGAGACACGGUCCAGACUCCUACGGGAGGCAGCAGUGGGGAAUAUUGGACAAUGGGCGAAAGCCUGAUCCAGCCAUGCCGCGUGUGUGAAGAAGGUCUUCGGAUUGUAAGCACUUAAGUUGGGAGGAAGGGUAGUAACCUAAUACGUUGCUACUUUG